rnacentral:pre_miRNA from 1 species
AGUGGGAUAGCUGGGUCAAAUGGUGGUUCCAUUCCCAAUUUUCUGAAAGGAAUCUUUAUACUGCUUUCCAUAGUGGUUGCACCAAUUUGCAGUCCCACCAGUAAU